UACGUAGGGUGCGAGCGUUAAUCGGAAUUACUGGGCGUAAAGCGUGUGCAGGCGGUUUGUUAAGACAGGUGUGAAAUCCCCGGGCUUAACCUGGGAAUUGCGCUUGUUACUGGCAAGCUAGAGUGCGUCAGAGGGAGGUGGAAUUCCACGUGUAGCAGUGAAAUGCGUAGAGAUGUGGAGGAACACCGAUGGCGAAGGGAGCCUCCUGGGAUGACACUGACGCUCAUACACGAAAGCGUGGGGAGCAAACAGG
rnacentral:rRNA from 1 species